rnacentral:rRNA from 1 species
GACGAACGCUGGCGGCAUGCCUAAUACAUGCAAGUCGAACGCAGUGGGGACGGGUGAGUAACACGUGGGUAACCUGCCCAUCAGAAGGGAUAACACUUGGAAACAGGUGCUAAACCGAUACUGAUGGAUGAACCCGCGGUGCAUUAGCUAGUUGGUGAGGUAACGGCUCACCAAGGCCACGAUGCAUAGCCGACCUGAGAGGGUGAUCGGCCACAUUGGGACGGAGACACGGCCCAGACUCCUACGGGAGGCAGCAGUAGGGAAUCGUCGGCAAUGGACGAAAGUCUGACCGAGCAACGCCGCGUGAGUGAAGAAGGUUUUCGGAUCGUAAAACUCUGUUGUUAGAGAAGCGGUAUCUAACCAGAAAGCCACGGCUAACUACGUGCCAGCAGCCGCGGUAAUAC